UGCCCCGUGGCUUAGUUGGUUACGGCGUCCGACUGUUAAUUCGUAUAAUGGCAUCGGAAGAUCGAGAGUUCAAGUCUCUCCGGGGCAG
rnacentral:tRNA from 1 species